GACGAACGCUGGCGGCGUGCUUAAGACAUGCAAGUCGUACGAGAAAGCCUCUUCGGAGGUUAGUAAAGUGGCGCACGGGUGAGUAACGCGUGGGUAAUCUGCCCUUAGGUUUGGGAUAACCCCGGGAAACCGGAGCUAAUACCGAAUAAGACCACGAUGACUUCGGUCGAUGUGGGAAAACAUGGCCUCUUCCUGAAAGCUAUGGCCAAUGGAUGAGCCCGCGUUUGAUUAGUUUGUUGGUGAGGUAACGGCUCACCAAGACUACGAUCAAUAGCUGGUCUGAGAGGACGAUCAGCCACACUGGAACUGAGACACGGUCCAG
rnacentral:rRNA from 1 species